rnacentral:rRNA from 1 species
UUGCUCCCUGAUUCAGCGGCGGACGGGUGANUAAUGCCUAGNGAAUCUGCCUGGUAUUGGGGGACAACUUUUCNAAAGGAACNCUAAUACCGCAUACUUCCUACGGNAAAAAUUGGGGGAUCUNCGNACCUCACCCUAUCAAAUNACCCUAGGUCGGAUUACCUAUUAGGUNAGGUAAUGGCUCACCUAGGC